CUUCCUGUGUGACACAACGCUCACAUUGCUUGCUCAGCUUGCAUCCACCAGUGACAGAUUUAGCGGCUUGGUGAGCUGCGUUCUCCACCUCGUGUGAAUUCCGUGAGAACUGUUUGGGGUCACCUUCGCUUCUCAAGACGGAUGCUGGAGUUUCCGUUCUUCCCAAGGACGCGACUCACCGGGCACCCGCCACAGAAUAGUUAUUAUAGUCACCAUACAUUUCCAAACGAAUGUGAAGUGUGGCUGGAAGGCAGAGGGGCGGCCAUUUGGAGACCAUUCGCCACGCAGUGCAGUUGUGAUAGACGAGCGCUUGUGAUGGAAUGGAGGCAGCCUAGACAAACGUUAAGCGUCGUGGUGCGUUUCCUGUGUCGGAAUCAAAGGUUUUGAUGGCCCAAGGUGGAUGACUGGAAGGAAUAAGACUACUUUGCAGCCAAGAUGACGUCAGUGUAAGAUCGGGUUAUCUUUGAGUACUUGGGUGUGUCACUACCACUGGCCUGGCCCAUGCAGUGAGGAAGGCUUGGAAUACUCAAGGUCCCUUCCUGAAGACCAGUGUGGAGAUGGAUCCUUGCUCUCAAUGCUGAAGCUGCACCCACCUAUAGGACAAAAGAUCGAUAUUUUUAUCAUGUGAUUUUAGUGUGUUUGACUUAUGGCUUGCAGUGUUGUUAGUAAUAAGCUUCCAAAUGUAUAAGAGUUCAAAGGACUCCUCACUUCAAUGAAUUUUCUUAAAAAAAAUUUCUUUAUAAAUUUUUACAAUGUAGGUCAUGGUAUGUGUUUCUCAAGAGAAAGUCUUUGAAGUACUGGUAUUCUUUCUGGAGAGUGAGGUAUCGGAACUGGCGUUUCUCUCCGGAGAGUCUUUGAGGUAUCGGAACUGGUGUUUCUCUGGAGUCUGUCAGGUAUCAGAACAGCAUGUUUCUAUCAGGAGAGUGUUUGAGGUGUCGGAACUGGUGUUUCUCCGGAGUGUCUUUCAGGUAUCAGAACAGCAUGUUUCUAUCAGGACAGUGUUUGAGGUAUCGGAACUGGAACUGAAUGCCUACAAGACUUGAUUGGUGCUGUCGUUUAGGUAGCAUUUUCAUUUCAGGAACAUUUAUGGUCUUGAAUUGACAAAAAUUUUACCCUCAGGAACAUUGGUCUUGAAUUGACAAAAAUUUUACCCUAUGUUAGGUAGCAUAUUUUGUUUUUGACAAAAAUCGUCUCGUGCCACUUGACCGAAACAGAAAUCUGACACUUUUGUUCCCAAAAUGAAAAAAAGGUGCAUCAUCAAGACCGACACCUAUCCCACCAUCGGGUGGAGUCUUGAAUUACAUGCACUUGAAUUUUUUAAUUUUGCUACUUAAGGAAGAAGUAUAAGAAAAAGAUGGAGAAGAAGAAGAGAGCGAAAAAUAGAUGAUUUUCAAUGACAUUUUGCCUAUACAAUGCUGUAUUAUGAGGAAGAUUUUAAAUGAUAUUUUGCCUAUAUAAUGCAGUUAUCUUAGGGGUUCAUGUACUCUAUCUUAGUAAUUAUCUGAGUGAUUUCAAUGAGAUUCUGCAUACAUACUGCACA